rnacentral:rRNA from 1 species
GAUGAACGCUGGCGGCGUGCCUAAUACAUGCAAGUCGAGCGAACGGACGAGAAGCUUGCUUCUCUGAUGUUAGCGGCGGACGGGUGAGUAACACGUGGAUAACCUACCUAUAAGACUGGGAUAACUUCGGGAAACCGGAGCUAAUACCGGAUAAUAUUUUGAACCGCAUGGUUCAAAAGUGAAAGACGGUCUUGCUGUCACUUAUAGAUGGAUCCGCGCUGCAUUAGCUAGUUGGUAAGGUAACGGCUUACCAAGGCGACGAUGCAUAGCCGACCUGAGAGGGUGAUCGGCCACACUGGAACUGAGACACGGUCCAGACUCCUACGGGAGGCAGCAGUAGGGAAUCUUCCGCAAUGGGCGAAAGCCUGACGGAGCAACGCCGCGUGAGUGAUGAAGGUCUUCGGAUCGUAAAACUCUGUUAUUAGGGAAGAACAUAUGUGUAAGUAACUGUGCACAUCUUGACGGUACCUAAUCAGAAAGCCACGGCUAACUACGUGCCAGCAGCCGCGGUAAUACGUAGGUGGCAAGCGUUAUCCGGAAUUAUUGGGCGUAAAGCGCGCGUAGGCGGUUUUUUAAGUCUGAUGUGAAAGCCCACGGCUCAACCGUGGAGGGUCAUUGGAAACUGGAAAACUUGAGUGCAGAAGAGGAAAGUGGAAUUCCAUGUGUAGCGGUGAAAUGCGCAGAGAUAUGGAGGAACACCAGUGGCGAAGGCGACUUUCUGGUCUGUAACUGACGCUGAUGUGCGAAAGCGUGGGGAUCAAACAGGAUUAGAUACCCUGGUAGUCCACGCCGUAAACGAUGAGUGCUAAGUGUUAGGGGGUUUCCGCCCCUUAGUGCUGCAGCUAACGCAUUAAGCACUCCGCCUGGGGAGUACGACCGCAAGGUUGAAACUCAAAGGAAUUGACGGGGACCCGCACAAGCGGUGGAGCAUGUGGUUUAAUUCGAAGCAACGCGAAGAACCUUACCAAAUCUUGACAUCCUUUGACAACUCUAGAGAUAGAGCUUUCCCCUUCGGGGGACAAAGUGACAGGUGGUGCAUGGUUGUCGUCAGCUCGUGUCGUGAGAUGUUGGGUUAAGUCCCGCAACGAGCGCAACCCUUAAGCUUAGUUGCCAUCAUUAAGUUGGGCACUCUAAGUUGACUGCCGGUGACAAACCGGAGGAAGGUGAGGAUGACGUCAAAUCAUCAUGCCCCUUAUGAUUUGGGCUACACACGUGCUACAAUGGACAAUACAAAGGGCAGCGAAACCGCGAGGUCAAGCAAAUCCCAUAAAGUUGUUCUCAGUUCGGAUUGUAGUCUGCAACUCGACUACAUGAAGCUGGAAUCGCUAGUAAUCGUAGAUCAGCAUGCUACGGUGAAUACGUUCCCGGGUCU